rnacentral:rRNA from 1 species
UACGUAGGGGGCGAGCGUUGUCCGGAUUUAUUGGGCGUAAAGAGCGUGUAGGCGGUUCGGUAAGUCUGUCGUGAAAUCCUGAGGCUCAACCGUCGGGCGUGCGAUGGAUACUGCCGGGCUAGAGGGUGGUAGGAGGCGAGUGGAAUUCCCGGUGUAGCGGUGAAAUGCGCAGAUAUCGGGAGGAACACCGAGUAGCGAAGGCGGCUCGCUGGGCCACACCUGACGCUGAGACGCGAAAGCUAGGGGAGCGAACGAGGA